rnacentral:rRNA from 1 species
AUUGAACGCUGGCGGCAGGCUUAACACAUGCAAGUCGAGCGAGCGGCGGACGGGUGAGUAAUGUCUGGGAAACUGCCUGAUGGCUGGGGAUAACUCCUGGAAACGGUACCUAAUACCGCAUACCAUACGAUGUUCCCAUAUGGGAUUAGCUUGUAGGUGAGGUAACGGCUCACCUAGGCGACGAUCCCUAGCUGGUCUGAGAGGAUGAUCGGCCACACUGGGACUGAGACACGGCCCAGACUCCUACGGGAGGCAGCAGUGGGGAAUAUUGCACAAUGGGCGCAAGCCUGAUGCAGCCAUGCCGCGUGUAUGAAGAAGGCCUUCGGGUUGUAAAGUACUGUCAGUCGGGAGGCGUUACCGACAGAAGAAGCACCGGCUAACUCCGUGCCAGCAGCCGCGGUAAUAC